UACGUAGGUGGCAAGCGUUGUCCGGAAUUAUUGGGCGUAAAGCGCGCGCAGGCGGUCCUUUAAGUCUGAUGUGAAAGCCCACGGCUCAACCGUGGAGGGUCAUUGGAAACUGGGGGACUUGAGUACAGAAGAGAAGAGUGGAAUUCCACGUAUAGCGGUGAAAUGCGUAGAGAUGUGGAGGAACACCAGUGGCGAAGGCGACUCUUUGGUCUGUAACUGACGCUGAGGCGCGAAAGCGUGGGGAGCAAACAGG
rnacentral:rRNA from 1 species